UUGAUCAGUUCUACAGUUUGAGGGGGAGAAAACCAGGAAAGAUAAGAUUACAGAUGAUUUUCUUGCAUCCAACGAUAAUCUUCCUCGAUUUGCUUAGCCAAUUCCCUCGUCAGUCUAUCGGCGCGGUCAUCGUGUCCCCCUGCGAAGGUAUACACUCUGAACGCGAAUUGAAACGCUCUCCACAGCGUCUUACAACACGCCUUGCUAGGUUGAGCUCCGCUUUUCUCAGCAUCUCUCCUUUCCUGCCAAAUUAGAAAAGGUGAUACCGUGACAGUCAAAGUUGUAAUGAACAACUGUGAAGUAUUAGGGUUUGGAGAAAUUUACUUUCAUGGCUAAUUCCAUGCAAUUCGAUGAAAGAUCCACCACGGCUUCUUUAAUCUGUACUAGGAUCUGCAGGUCGAACUCGAUGUUAUGGCUCUUGAACUUCUUGCAUUCUUCUUCUUUAAUUCUCUCGAAUGCAUCCAGCUCUCCGUUCAUCUGGAAAGUCUUUUAGUUCGUGAUUGGUCAUUGAAUUUUGGCGUAGCUAGAGUUACCAAUCUGGUUUAAUAGAUUUGAGCAUAGUUACCGAUCUUUGAGAUAUGUCGUAGCUACUACCUUGCUGAAGUAACGCUCAAUCCUGUCAAGAAGCCGUUCCAAUGGGGAUCCGAUCUUCCAUGCCUGUAGGUCAGUAACAACUCCUUUUAGCUUACAGUAGAGUGCUGCUGCUGAUCUUGUUACUUCCAACUUCUUUUGCGGGAAGCCUUCAAACCUCACUAGGACCUGCAUUGCAGAUAUUUUCAUAUGUUUUCAAUAUCUUCUUGUGAAACGAAAACCAUGAUUAGUUAAUCAAACAUUUUGCUGCCAACCUGUGAUUCAUCAGUUAGAUUCUCGAGAACGGAUUCGACAUACUUGUAGAAGUUGACUAACUCUGUCAUGUCCUUUGUUUUGAAACUGCUAAGUUCUCUCUUUAGCCUAUUUAUUUCCUCUUCAUAGGUUUGGACGUCUUCUUGAAUUUGUUGGAAGUAUGCUGAUCUAUGAUAGGAAGAACAAUCAAGGGAAGGGGAUACAUAGGAAGAACAAUCAAGUGAAGGGGAUACAAGCUUUACCUCUUUGUUAUCUCCGCUAGUGCAUCGGCCAUUCCUUGCUUUCCACCAGCAUUGUUGGAAUUUGGGUUUCCUUUUCCAUUCUGCCUUCGGAUUUGAUUACCUCCUUCUACUUUCCCUUUCAAAGCUCUGUACAAGUUACCCAUUUGGCUUGACCUUUUCAAUUUGCUUUGUGCUCUCCUUGGACGCAGCAACUUUGCUCCACCUGGUGGAGGAGGCGGAGGAGUGAUUCCUUGUGAGGGUGCUUCCAUGCAAUUUGAGGCUGAUCCAUUUGAAGAUGUCCUUGGAAGACUUGGUGAAGAGUGCAUUGCUUGUGUGGUUCUUGGAAUACGUAGAGAUGAUGAACGUGAUGAGGUUGGUUUCUCACUAUCUGAUGUUUUUUGCGGCGGUGGUGGUGGAUGUGGCACUGAUGAUGAAGAUGGUUUUUCAGUUUCUUCUGCUGUAUGUGGACUAAGCUGUAAUGAUAUACUUGCGGUAGCUGCUUGAGACUUCAAAACUGGAGUUUGCAGAGGCAGUUCAGUAGCCAGUGGCUGGAGUUGGGACACUCGAUGCAAAGGAGGCAGUGGUGGAGGUUUGGGUGGUUGUGAACCUCUUGGCAUCUUUAUCCUCGUGGUUGAUGGUGGUGGUUGUGGAGGUGGGGGUGGGGGAGGUACUGAUGCUUCCGAGACCAGUUCUGAAGACAUAGGCUCUUCAGACAGCAUUGCCAAUUCCUUGGCUUGUACGGUUGUGGGAAUUGUGUCAGUCACUGAACUCUCUCUAGUUUCAUCAUCCGAGUCUAUUUCACCUUCCGAGGAUUGACUUCCAUCCAUUUCCAAUAUCGGCUCCCCAUCUGGCUGCUUACCUUCAGCGCGGUGUUUGCUCACAUUGUUCUUAUGGUGGCCAUGAGAGAUGCCAUGUGGGAACAAAUGGAAAGGGAGCUUUUUGAUGUCGACGCGGCUCAAUUUCCCUACUGAUUGAAAGCUCAAAAACCUCAGAAGGGGCGACGAACAGUACAAGUUGGAAAACUCCUUGGCCUUGGGAGAAU
rnacentral:lncRNA from 1 species